AAUGAAGUUUUAGUGACUGAGUGGCGGACGGGUGAGUAACGCGUGGGUAACCUGCCUCACACAGGGGGAUAACAGUUGGAAACGGCUGCUAAUACCGCAUAAGCGCACAGUACCGCAUGGUACAGUGUGAAAAACUCCGGUGGUGUGAGAUGGACCCGCGUCUGAUUAGCUAGUUGGCAGGGCAACGGCCUACCAAGGCGACGAUCAGUAGCCGACCUGAGAGGGUGACCGGCCACAUUGGGACUGAGACACGGCCCAAACUCCUACGGGAGGCAGCAGUGGGGAAUAUUGCACAAUGGGGGAAACCCUGAUGCAGCGACGCCGCGUGAGCGAAGAAGUAUUUCGGUAUGUAAAGCUCUAUCAGCAGGGAAGAAGAAAUGACGGUACCUGACUAAGAAGCACCGGCUAAAUACGUGCCAGCAGCCGCGGUAAUACGUAUGGUGCAAGCGUUAUCCGGAUUUACUGGGUGUAAAGGGAGCGCAGGCGGAAGGCUAAGUCUGAUGUGAAAGCCCGGGGCUCAACCCCGGUACUGCAUUGGAAACUGGUCAUCUAGAAUGUCGGAGGGGUAAGUGGAAUUCCUAGUGUAGCGGUGAAAUGCGUAGAUAUUAGGAGGAACACCAGUGGCGAAGGCGGCUUAC
rnacentral:rRNA from 1 species